rnacentral:rRNA from 1 species
AACGAACGCUGGCGGCAGGCUUAACACAUGCAAGUCGAACGAUGAACCCGGAGCUUGCUCCGGUGGAUUAGUGGCGAACGGGUGAGUAACACGUGAGUAACCUGCCCUUGACCCUGGGAUAACUGCGGGAAACUGUAGCUAAUACCGGAUACGACCCUCGGCGGCAUCGCCAGGGGGUGGAAAGAAUUUCGGUCAAGGAUGGACUCGCGGCCUAUCAGCUAGUUGGUGAGGUAACGGCGCACCAAGGCGACGACGGGUAGCCGGCCUGAGAGGGUGACCGGCCACACUGGGACUGAGACACGGCCCAGACUCCUACGGGAGGCAGCAGUGGGGAAUAUUGCACAAUGGGCGCAAGCCUGACGCAGCAACGCCGCGUGAGGGAUGACGGCCUUCGGGUUGUAAACCUCUUUUAGUAGGGAAGAAGCGAAAGUGACGGUACCUGCAGAAAAAGCACCGGCUAACUACGUGCCAGCAGCCGCAGUAA